GUACGGGAGGCAGCAGUGAGGAAUAUUGGUCAAUGGGCGCAAGCCUGAACCAGCCAUCCCGCGUGCAGGAAGAAGGCGCUAUGCGUUGUAAACUGCUUUUCCAGGGGGCGAAUAGCUUCUACGUGUAGAGGCAUGACGGUACCCUGGGAAUAAGCAUCGGCUAACUCCGUGCCAGCAGCCGCGGUAAUACGGAGGAUGCGAGCGUUAUCCGGAUUUAUUGGGUUUAAAGGGUGCGUAGGCGGAUAGAUAAGUCAGUGGUGAAAACCUGCAGCUUAACUGUAGAACUGCCGUUGAUACUGUCAGUCUUGAGUGUGGUCAAGGUAGGCGGAAUGUGUAAUGUAGCGGUGAAAUGCUUAGAUAUUACACAGAACACCGAUUGCGAAGGCAGCUUACUGGACCAUUACUGACGCUGAUGCACGAAAGCGUGGGGAGCGAACAGGAUUAGAUACCCCGGUAGA
rnacentral:rRNA from 1 species